CUGAGGAAGUAUCUGCAGUUGGCAUGUGCUCUUCCUGGGUGGAAUGAAUAGUAGAGGAGCCAGAGGCUGGUCUGUAUGCAAGAAAGCCUGUCAAUAGUUGGCAACUGGAGUAGCA